UACGGAGGGUGCAAGCGUUAAUCGGAAUUACUGGGCGUAAAGCGCACGCAGGCGGUCUGUCAAGUCGGAUGUGAAAUCCCCGGGCUCAACCUGGGAACUGCAUCCGAAACUGGCAGGCUAGAGUCUUGUAGAGGGGGGUGAAUUCCAGGUGUAGCGGUGAAAUGCGUAGAGAUCUGGAGGAAUACCGGUGGCGAAGGCGGCCCCCUGGACAAAGACUGACGCUCAGGUGCGAAAGCGUGGGGAGCAAACAGGAUUAGAUACCCUGGUAGUCCACGCCGUAAACGAUGGCGACUUGGAGGUGGGGCCCUUGAGGCGUGGCUGCCGGAGCUAACGCGUUAAGUCGACCGCCUGGGGAGUACGGCCGCAAGGUUAAA
rnacentral:rRNA from 1 species